rnacentral:lncRNA from 1 species
UCCAGUGACAUAAAAACACCUUGGGCCCACUCCACACCUUACCCUCAAUCACCAUUACCUUAGGGGGUUUCUGAAAACCUAAAAUAGCUAUGCUUAGACUCAUGGUCUAUUACUGUUUACUUUCAUAUAUGCCAUUUAUUUGUUUACUUAUCUAUUUUGACUUUGAGAUAAGGUUUCCCUAUACCAUCUAGACUAUAUAGUCCAAGCUGGCCUAAGAACUGUGUGCUCUCUUAGCUUAUUUUCUAGGCCAUUUCAGGACUCUCUUUGUAAAAGAACUACUCAAUCUUCUCUUGUCAAUAAAAUUUUUCACACUCUAUGUGCAACUUAAUAAUGUGGGGUACAGAGUAGUGUAUUAACUUUAUUUUAAAACAUCAGAUUUAUUAUAAAUUACACACACUGUAAUUAUAUGUAAUAUUAACAUACUAAUUAUAAAAUUUUAUAAGGACUGGUUAUAGAUUCUUUUACUUUUAGCUAGACAGGUUGAUGGAGAAAAGAUUAAGAUCCAUAAAUGGUUAAAAAAUUUGAUUCUGUAUAUGUACUAACAUCAAACUUUUCAUAAAAAUAAUUUACAAAAAUACCAAUACUAUUUUAAUGGGAACAUUUAAAAAAUCUAUCAUCAUUAAUCAUCCAAUCAAAAAUAGGAAACAUUUGAGUUGUUAUGAAUAUACAUUAAAGGAUAGAAUUUUAAAGACAGAUUUAGGAAAUCCUAAGAUUAAAUACACAGUCCAUGAUUAAUUGAGAAUUGUUCUAGUCAGAAUAAUUAGAGG